AAGCAAUACAAAACAAAUGAAUGUCAUGGAUAACUUUUCAGCAUUACAGAAUCUGCUGUUAUCUGAGAGCUUUUGACAACUAACAAGUACCACAUAAGAUCCUACAUCUGGAGAUGUAUUUAGGUCUUCAGACUCAGACUAAUAUCUACAGCCUUGGUUCUCCAGCUCUCAAGCCUUCAAAGCACACCACUGGCUUGCAUGGUCUAUAGCUUGCAGACAGCAGAUCAUGGGACUUUUCAGCCUCCAAAAUCAUAUAUAUUGCAAAGUCUGAAGAGAUUAAUAAGAGGAUAUAGAAGAAUGUGCUUUGAAGCCUGUGAAGUGCUACAGACAUUGAACAUAAUACUAUUAAAAUCUUUCAUGAAGAGGAGAAUUUAUGAAUU